rnacentral:sRNA from 1 species
AAAUUAGCCAGGCAUGGUGGCAGGUGCCUGUAAUCCCACUACUCAGGAGGCUGAGGCAGGAGAAUCACUUGAACCCAGGAGGCGGAGGUUGCAGUGAGCUGAGACUGUACCACAACACUCCAGCCUGGGCAACAGAGUGAAAUUCCAUCUCAAAAAAAAAAAGUUAAUCCUUUAAAGCCUAUUUGUUCUCCAAAUUACAUCACUUUACAGACACUCAAAUGGUUUCAAGCAAUAUAAUCACUCCCAUCUCCCUUGAUGAUGUCCCACCACGGAUAGCUCGGGCCAUGGAAAAUGAGGAAUACUGGGACUUUGAUAUUUUUGAACUGGAGGCUGCCACCCACAAUAGGCCUUUGAUUUAUCUUGGUCUCAAAAUGUUUGCUCGCUUUGGAAUCUGUGAAUUCUUACAUUGCUCCGAAUCAACGCUAAGAUCAUGGUUACAAAUUAUCGAAGCCAAUUAUCAUUCCUCCAAUCCCUACCACAAUUCUACACAUUCUGCUGAUGUGCUUCAUGCCACUGCCUAUUUUCUCUCCAAGGAGAG